ensembl:lncRNA
GUACAUCCUGAGCCCUUAUAAGCGGCGGCCGCGAUUCUUCCCGCCCUUUCUCCUCGUGCGGCAGGCCCUUAUGGAGACGGAUGGCGGUACCGCGCCCGGCCGGGAGUGCGCAGGCAGCGCUGGAACGGCCCUGCGGUCCGUCCUGAGAUCGACUGCUGAGGAGUACUGCUUUAAUGCUUGUUUGGUGUCUAUUCGCCCAGCGGAACGAUGCCCUGAAGCAAAGAAAGCUGGGAUUUGCAGAUGAUGUGAUACAAUAAGGACUGGGAGCAGGCAUCUGUCUGGAGAUGGCCAUAAUGUGAAGCCCUUCAGAAGGCCUUGGGACAGAAGUGAGACUGCAAGGGCAAGAGAUUGUUCUGGGUGUUGAUGCUGAAAGCACAUUUGUUUGAGGAAGAAGGAACCCAAUGGAACAUGAGUGAGCUUGGCAACUGACCUUUGUAAACGUCACCUGUUUUUCUGUGCGUAGACUUGUAAGAUAAGAGGAUGUUUACACUGUUCUGAUAUACAUUAAAGUUCUAAAAAACCCUUCAGUCUGCUUUUGUCACUCUUUGCAUAAAGGAAUGAUGCUUUAUUACCCAACACGUCUUUGUUCCACGUGCACUCUUCUGUGAUUUGCUGUAAUAUCAUACAGUAGAUGUGUACAUGGUACAGUGUAGUUUCUGCAGAGUGUAAACAGGCUUCAGUUGUAAGCAUUCUAUCUGG